AGGUGCGAUCAUACCAGCACUAAUGCACAGAAUCCCAUCAGAACUCCGAAGUUAAGCCUGCUUGGGCCAGAGUAGUAUUAGGAUGGGUGACCUACUAGGUAGUCCUCGUGUUACUCCUC
rnacentral:rRNA from 2 species